AUUGAACGCUGGCGGCAGGCUUAACACAUGCAAGUCGAGCGGAGCGGCGGACGGGUGUGUAGUGCCUAGGAAUCUGCCUGGUAGUGGGGGAUACCGUCCGGAAACGGGCGUUAAUACCGCAUACUAUGAGAUGAGACUAGGUCGGAUUAGCUAGUUGGUGGGGUAAAGGCCUACCAAGGCGACGAUCCGUAACUGGUCUGAGAGGGUGAUCAGUCAAACGGGAACUGAGACACGGUCCAGACUCCGACGGGAGGCAGCAGUGGGGAAUAGUGGACAAUGGGCGAAAGCCUGAUCCAGCCAUGCCGCGUGUGUGAAGAAGGUCUUCGGGUUGUAAAGUACUUUCAGCGGGGAGGCGUUACCCGCAGAAGAAUCACCGGCUAACUCCGUGCCAGCAGCCGCGGUAAUAC
rnacentral:rRNA from 1 species